AUCUCUCAACACAAGAGAUCUUGUCUUUUGUGCUUGGAUAUUGAAGGCUUGCUGGCGCAACAACUGUCAGCUCCUUUUAAAUGCAUUAGCAGAGCAAUGUUAGGACUGGCCUCAGUUUGAUAAGAAGUUUUUAUCUGUGCUGUCGCUGGAUUUCCUCUUGUGCUUAGCUUCAAAUUGUCUUGGGACUGCCUCUUGGGGCAAUGUAUUAUUAUU
rnacentral:misc_RNA from 1 species